UGAACGCUGGCGGCGUGCCUAAUACAUGCAAGUCGAACGAGCGAGAUCCAGCUUGCUGGAUUAGCGAGUGGCGAACGGGUGAGUAAUACGUAAGCAACCUGCCUACACGGACUGGGAUAACACCUGGAAACGGGCGCUAAUACCGGAUAGGUAACGAGAGGGCAUCCUCUUGUUAUUAAAGGUUUGAAACACAAGUAGAUGGGCUUACGGUGCAUUAGCUAGUUGGUGAGGUAACGGCCCACCAAGGCGAUGAUGCAUAGCCGGCCUGAGAGGGUGAACGGCCACAUUGGGACUGAGACACGGCCCAGACUCCUACGGGAGGCAGCAGUAGGGAAUUUUCGGCAAUGGGCGCAAGCCUGACCGAGCAACGCCGCGUGAGUGAUGAAGGUUUUCGGAUCGUAAAGCUCUGUUGUAAGGGAAGAAUGGCGCGGACAGACUCCGCGAUUGACGGUACCUUACCAGAAAGCCACGGCUAACUACGUGCCAGCCGCGGC
rnacentral:rRNA from 1 species